rnacentral:rRNA from 1 species
UAUAAUUAAAAUUGUUUUCAAUUAAUGGGUACGAAAUAGUACGAGCUAAAAAAUAUAUUCUGUAGGAACGAAGUUGACUGUGGCAAUAAUUAAUGUAAAAUAUCUUUUAGGGGCGAAAUACUUAUCAAGUACUAUGAUAUCUUGUUUAUUAGGAAAUAUAUAUAGUAUUUAGGCAAUUUAGUAAUGAUAAGGUUACUAAAUAUCAUUAUAAGUAUAGUAUAACUAUAUAAUUUGUUUAAUAGCUAUUAUGAAUUAAUAAAGAACAUUUAUUUUAUGUAUUAUAUGAGACAAUACUAAUAUAUGUAAUUAAUAUUCUAUCACAUUAAUAAUGUUAUAAUUAGUAUUUAAUAUAUAUAUAUUACAGGAACUCGGCAAAAAAAUUUCUCAACUGUUUAACAAAAACAUUGCCUGAAGAAGUUAUUUUAGGUUUACCCUGCUCAAUGGUUCGCUAAAUAGCCGCAGUACCUUGACUGUGCAAAGGUAGCAUAAUCAAUUGGCUUAUAAUUGAAGUCUAGUAUGAAUGGGCCUUUGGGAAAUGUCUGUCUCUCUUUUAUCUUUAAAAGUUACUAAAUAAGUGAAAAUUCUUAUAUACAUAUAAUAGACGAGAAGACCCUAGAAAUUUUAAAUAAUGGUUAUACCCUGCUUUUUUGUUGGGGCGACAUUGCAACAAAUAACUUGCAUAAUAUAAUAUGACCUAUUUGUAUUGAAUAAAUAAAUUACUCUAGGGAUAACAGCAUAAUUUAGUAAAGUUUGUGACCUCGAUGUUGGACUAGGAAAUAUAUUAUUCAGAAGAUAAUUGUUUUUGCUCUGUUCGAGCAAUUAUACCUACAUGAUCUGAGUUCAGACCGG